rnacentral:lncRNA from 1 species
AGUGCAAAAAAACUGUUAUAAAAGGUGCAAAAAAUCGUUAUGUAUUCUAAUUAAAGAUAACGGUUAAAAUCGUUAUAAAAAUUGCAAAAAUCGUUAUAAAAAGUGCAAAAAAUCGUUAUAAAAAGUGCAAAAAACCGUUAUGUAUUCUAUCAAAGAUAACGGUAAAAACCGUUAUAAAAAGUGCAAAAAACUGUUAACUAUGAUAAAAAAAAAAAAUAAAAAAUAAUACAUAACGGAAAAAUCUUAAUACAUAACGGUGAAAAACCGUUAUGUAUUCUAUCAAAGAUAACGGUAAAAACCGUUAUAAAAAGUGCAAAAAACUGUUAACUAUGAUAAAAAAAAAUUAAAAAAAAAUUAAUACAUAACGGAAAAAUGUUAAUACAUAACGGUGAAAAACCGUUAUGUAUAACCGUUAUAGAUAACGGAUGCGUACUGU